rnacentral:lncRNA from 1 species
UAAUACUUAAUUUUCUUAGAAUAAACAGGAAUUUGAGGAUGAAUUUCUUCUAUAGGAACCAUAGUCACAUGUUUGAAUAUUUCUCUCAUCUGUCCAUUGUGACUAUCUCUUCUUUUCCCAACUUCUUUAUGUUCCUCUUCUUCUUUCUCUUCUUCACCAAGCUUGUCAUUCUCACUUACCUCUUCUUCAUCACUGCUUCCAAUCUCUACAACUUCCCUUUCAACCUUUCUUUUACUCCUUGUCACCACAGCUUUAC